rnacentral:rRNA from 1 species
UGCGUAGGCGGGCUAAUAAGUCAGUGGUGAAAUCUUUCGGCUCAACCGAGAAACUGCCAUUGAUACUGUUGAUCUUGAGUUCGGUUGAGGUAGGCGGAAUGUGUAAUGUAGCGGUGAAAUGCUUAGAUAUUACACAGAACACCAAUUGCGUAGGCAGCUUACUAGACCGACACUGACGCUGAGGCACGAAAGCGUGGGGAGCGAACAGGAUUAGAUACCCUGGUAGUCC